rnacentral:rRNA from 1 species
UUGAGCGCUGGCGGCAGGCCUAACACAUGCAAGUCGAGCGGAUGACGGGAGCUUGCUCCUUGAUUCAGCGGCGGACGGGUGAGUAAUGCCUAGGAAUCUGCCUGGUAGUGGGGGACAACGUUUCGAAAGGAACGCUAAUACCGCAUACGUCCUACGGGAGAAAGCAGGGGACCUUCGGGCCUUGCGCUAUCAGAUGAGCCUAGGUCGGAUUAGCUAGUUGGUGGGGUAAUGGCUCACCAAGGCGACGAUCCGUAACUGGUCUGAGAGGAUGAUCAGUCACACUGGAACUGAGACACGGUCCAGACUCCUACGGGAGGCAGCAGUGGGGAAUAUUGGACAAUGGGCGAAAGCCUGAUCCAGCCAUGCCGCGUGUGUGAAGAAGGUCUUCGGAUUGUAAAGCACUUUAAGUUGGGAGGAAGGGCAGUAAGUUAAUACCUUGCUGUUUUGACGUUACCGACAGAAUAAGCACCGGCUAACUCUGUGCCAGCCGCCGCCGUAA